rnacentral:lncRNA from 1 species
AGGGCUGAGGUGUUCACACCUGCCCACGGCAGCCUGCCUCGCCCUCAAGCGCCUCAAAGCUUCCUAAGCGCUUACAUUGGUCUUGGGACAGCCGACUUUGGCUUCUUUGUUUGUUUGAGGGACCGCGGAAGUGGCGGGGAAUGUGCCCCCGCUUGAGACCGCUUAUUGUGAGCCCUCAACGGAAAUCCUGCACGGAAGGCAACCGCCUCCCCGCUCGCGGUAAGCAGGAUCCACCCGAGUAGCGGGGACCGAAUCCCAUCUUUCUUAUCUCUCGAAGACUCCUUUCAGGCUGAGAUCAGAGAGGGAGGGAAAAAGAAGAGAGAAUCAUUGUUCUUCUUUUUUUAAUUUAAUAUACCAAGCCACCAGCUCAGUUAGAAGGCUUCAUUUGCUCUGAGUUAUCAUUGAGAACUAAAUGGAGAAGAAAAGAACUGAAGGCCUGAAGAUAUGUCAUCUGUAGAAAAGCCCCAUCCUUCUGCAGGUGGCCUCUUCUCAAGCUUUCUUGGCAAAUCAAGAGCUUCUGCCUUUUGGAGGACAUCCUCUUGACCUCCCACCCAUAUCAGCUCUUAGAGGACAUUCCACAGGAACAUUGCCUUCUUGUCCUCCAGUAUUUUUUAUGGAAACAGAAAUUAGGUUAUCUUCCUUAUGCUCUAGAUGGACAUCUGAAAUCAUCAAACCCUUGAGAGAAACAGCCCUCAUUCUUUUAUGAGACAACCUGGAAGAAAACAGGACUCUGAAGAUUUGUCUCCAUAUUCUCUGGAAAGAUGUACUCUGUUUGCAAUAAGAGGGAGCCACAUGGUUUAUUAGAUGGUUAUUAAUUGAGCAUUCUGUGCAAAGAAGUUUGUGCCUUAGAUUUAGAAUUCCACCCUCAGUUGGAAUACAGAUGAUCCCUAACAAGUCACAUGAAAAAAUGAACUGUGGAGCCAGAAGAGUGAGUUCUUGGAGAACUAAGGGCCAGAGACCUGUGAGCAAGAUUUGAUAAUUUUAUAAAAAUUAAAAGACGAUUUGAAAUGUUAUUGGUCUUACUAAAACUUUUACUUGUGAACUGCAAUUGAUGACAUGAUCACUUGUGCCAAUUAUAAUUUUAUACCAAAGGACUGCAGAGCAUUGGAUGGGUUUGUUGGGCAGGUUUCUCACAAACGCUGACAGAAAGGUAUGACGAAGGAUGGGAGGACAAACUGGGGGGGUGCCAAGUAGAAAAACAGAAGCGAUGGCUAAGUGCUCGUCCUGGACUCUGCCCUUUGAUAAGGGACUGAAGGUCCCUUAUGAUCUUCUUUCAAAUUCCACCGUCACAGUUUUAGUCACAUCCAUCUAUAAUAUUAUUUACUAUCAGACUUUUCUUUAAAUUGACUCGCUUUUUCACUUUAGCCUUAUCCCAAGCAAUAAUGCAUAUAAAUCAUAAGUUUGUUGUAAUAGAUUUUUUGUAAUACUAAUCAAAAUUAAAUUUAUUCCCCUGUAACAGAGAUAAUUUCUCAAAUUACUUUGGAAAACACCAAUUUAAAGUGCUCAGUUUACCACUUGAGGAAAAUGAGAGAUCAGAGGAGUAAAGCCAAUUUUCCAAGGUCACACAGCCUGACAACUGGAAAUCCUGGCCUAGCACCUAAGUCUUUUAGGUAUUGGCCCAGUACUCUUUCCUUCUAUCAUCUUUCUCAGAGGCAAAGAAAAAAAAAAAAACUAUCAGGCAAUUAGCACUAUCUCUUGAGGGUAGAGGGCGUGAAGAUUCACCAGGUUCUCUCAUAAAGUUUAAACACUUUCUCGGUGGUGCUAAACCUUAUCUUGGUUACUCAGACUGUCUUCAGUCUGUUAAUUAUAUUGCAUAAAACCUAACACAUUUCCAUGAAAGGAGCUCUAAGGGAAGAAGGACCUGAAUGGGUUUUGAGAGCCAGGGCCUGCCUAUCCUUUAAGAAGGUCGUCUGGGCAGGAGAAAGCAGGAAGGGAAGGGAAAGGCCACUAACCAUAAGCAGUCCAAUUGUGGGUAAGUCACUAGUGUCAAGGAAUGUAGUCUCCUCAGUCAGGCAGGGUCCAGGUGCUGCAUACUGCCCAAACUGCCUGCCUUCCCCUGGAUAUUUGUUUUAUCUUGGAGCAUGUCGUGGCCUCAGAGAACUGAAUUCUUAAUCUGUGGCCUUUCAAAGUCUAUGGUUGUUUCCAACAUCACAUUGUCUCAGAUUUGUUACUCGCAGCACAGAUUCGAAAUGAGCCUUCAGUAAAAGUAAAAAGAAAGGAAGAAAGAAAGAAAGAAAGAAAGAAAGAAAGAAAGAAAGAAAGAAAGAAAGAAAGAAGAAAGAAAGAGAAAGAAAGAAAGAAGAAAGAAAGAAAGAAAGAAAGAAAGAAAGAAAGAAAGAAAGAAAGAAAGAAAGAAAAGAAAGAAAGCCAGCCAGUGGAAGAGUUUAGCCCCCACAAAAGCAAAAAGCACCCAGCAAAUCAAGCAUUUUCUUGCAGACUUGUGCUAAUUUUGUUUAUUUGUUUAUUACAAGGUGCUCUAAACCUCCUGGGGUAUUCCACAGCUUUAAUGACUAUGUGUAACACCACCUAGCUAACACUGCUUUUCCAUUCAGUCAACUCAGUCUCACAGCAGUCCUCACAACUACGUGGUUUCAGGUAUUAUUUUACAGAGGAGGCUGGAGCUUUGGGAAGUUAAGUGGCUUGCCUACAGUCACAAAGCCAAUACGAAGAGGACCUGAAACUCAGAUCUUUUUUCCCUCCCAGUUUGGGAUUCUUGCUAUCACCCUAUCACACUUCUAGACCUGUAUCUCUUGCAUCUCUAUCGUUCUUUCCUCAAGUCAACAUACAUUUCUCCAGAGUCCUAAUGUCCUUCAUCUUACCUUGGCACAAUAAGCAAUUCAUUGGGACUUUUCCGCUUUGGAUUUGUUUUGUCUUUCUCAUUCUUUUGAGGCUGCAGAUUAGCAUUUUGGCUAAUCACUUGGGUAUUAAAAGUUAGACCCUCUGGGCCUAAAUCCUAGAACUACUCCUUGCUAGCUAUGCCAACAUUAGCAAGUUGCUUAACCUCUCUGUGUCUCACUUACCUCAUCUGCAAAAUGGAAAUUGAAAUAGUCUUCGUAGGUAAUGAUAGCCUUGAAGGCCUUACAGGAUUAUUUUGAGGAUUAAAGGACACAAUGGUUGUAAAGUACUUAAGUAUCAUGCCACGCAAUUAAUGUUAGAUAUAAUUUUGAGUGUUUUCUCUUUUUUCACCCCUUUAAAAAAUCUUCUUUUGAAUUCAGGAUUCCUUUUCCCCAUAUAUUUUUAUGGUGAAUGAGAAUAUCGGCUUAGGGUCUACUCUGUUCAUCUCUUGAAAACGACAUUAUACUUUUUCUUCUAAAAAAUGAUACAAAGAGAAUCCCCAGCCUUUUCCCCCUCUCCCUGUGGCUACAGUUUUCCCAUCAUUUUAAAAGGUUAUUUCUUUUCUUCAUAGCACAAUGUGGUGGGAUGAAGGGGAAAUGGUUUAGAAAAUUUUAAAUUGAUGUAUCUUAUUUGUUUCCCCCAGUUAUAUUGAAAAGAAGAAAAUCUCUCCAGUUUCAGAAACACUGGCCUUUUGGAUACUGAGGAGUUGGAAAUGGAAAGGGGAUUUUAAUGAGUUUCUCGGCAAUGAGGCUAGAGAAAAUAUUAUCCAUCUCCCCCUGUUCUCCAAUUCAGCAGCUCGGACUCCUGUUUUCAUCACAGUCCUGUUAGAUAAUUACAGCCCCAAAGGCCUCCUGUUCCUUCUUUCUGUGUUCCCUGAAUCUUCUUUCCCAGAGCCAGGACCUCUUGGAAAUUCUCAGCCUCUGUUAGUUGCCCGCUCUGGGAGCCCGACUCCUCACAUCCGUCAUCUCUUUCUUCUCCCCCUUCACCUGCUGUAGUGUCCCCACUGUCUCUCUUUACCUCAGCUCCUUACCAUUCCUUUCCCUCUACACCCUUUUCCUUUGGUUCAUAGUCAGGAUGUGCUAGUUGCAUUCAAGCCCUUUUUGAUACUAAGAAUUCAGGGGGACAAAUCCAAACCCUGGAGACUACUGUCUUCCCCUUAGUGAUGCUAAUGAAUAUAAUUCCUGAUCUGAAAUUACCUGCACUUUAUUUGGCUCCAUCUACUUUUCUGCCACUUACUCCCUGUAUAACCAUAGGCUACGUACCCUACCUCUCUCUGGGUUUGUUUACUCCUCAGUUAAAAGGAGGAUUAAAAUGGCAAUCACAACACCUUGCUACAGAUAUGUUAGGAAGAUUAAAUGGGAUAACAUGCAGGGUGCCUAGCCUUCCUGGCAUAUAGUAAAUGCCUAUAAAAUAUAACAAGUGUCAUGUAUUAUUAUUAAAUUGUAUCUACCUGGUAGAA